GCCCGUUUAGCUCAGUGGUAGAGCGUGUCACUCGUAUUAGUCUUCUGCUGAUCACAUGACAAGGUCGCUAGUUCAAUCCUGGCAGGGGGCA